rnacentral:rRNA from 1 species
GGCAGUGGCGGACGGGUGAGUAACGCGUGGAGAACCUGUCUCUCAGUUGGGGAUAACCUGGCGAAAGUCGGGCUAAUCCCGAAUACGCUCUUGAGGUGGCAUCACUUUGGGAGGAAAGGUGCUUUCGGCAUCGCUGAGAGGUGGCUCCGCGUCGGAUUAGCUAGCUGGUGGGGUAACGGCUCACCAGGGCGACGAUCCGUAGCUGGUCUGAGAGGAUGAUCAGCCACACUGGGACUGAGACACGGCCCAGACUCCUACGGGAGGCAGCAGUGGGGAAUCUUCCGCAAUGGGCGAAAGCCUGACGGAGCAACGCCGCGUGAACGAAGAAGGCCUUCGGGUCGUAAAGUUCUGUCCUCAGGGAAGAACCCUCAUGGGAGGAAAUGCCCAUGAGCUGACGGUACCUGGGAAGGAAGCCCUGGCUAACUACGUGCCAGCAGCCGCGGUAAUACGUAGAGGGCAAGCGUUGUCCGGAAUUACUGGGCGUAAAGGGUACGCAGGCGGAUAUAUAAGUCAAAUGUGAAAGGCACCGGCUCAACCGGUGAGCGGCAUUUGAAACUGUAUAUCUUGAGUUCAGGAGAGGAGAGCGGAAUUCCUGGUGUAGCGGUGGAAUGCGUAGAUAUCAGGAAGAACACCAGUGGCGAAGGCGGCUCUCUGGCAUGAAACUGAAGCUCAGGUACGAAAGCUGGGGGAGCGAACGGGAUUAGAUACCCCGGUAGUCCCAGCCGUAAACGAUGGACACUAGGUGUUGGGGGUUCGAAUCCUUCAGUGCCGAAGCAAACGCAUUAAGUGUCCCG